GUGGAGCAUUGCAUACGCGAGGAAGCAGUACCGUAAGGAGCUGUGGAGUGUAUGGAAGAGAGAAUGCCGGAAUGAGUAGCGAGAUGGAGGUGAGAAUCCUCCAGGCCGAAUAUCCAAGGUUUCCAGAGUAAAGCUGAUCUGCUCUGGGUAAGUCGGGACCUAAGGCGAGGCCGAGAGGCGUAGCCGAUGGACAACAGGUUGAGAUUCCUGUACUGCUGUAUAUCAGAACUGUGGGGACACAGAGGGAAAGCACAGGCGCGGAAUGGAAAGCCGCGUGCAAGCGAGGUACCGGACUGGUAGGAAAAACCGCCAGCCAACGGGAAGACGUGAUGCGGACCGAAAUUUAGUAGGGAAGUGUGUGAGCCAGCUGUCAAGAAAAGCCGCUAUUGUGUAUACAGUACCCGUACCGUAAACCGACACAGGUGGAUGAGGAGAGAAUCCUAAGGCCGGCGGAAGAAGUAUUGUCAAGGAACUCGGCAAAAUGACCCUGUAACUUCGGGAGAAAGGGUGCCUCGAAGGAGGCCGCAGAGGAUUGGCCCAAGCAACUGUUUAGCAAAAACACAGGUCUAUGCGAAACCGAAAGGUGAGGUAUAUGGGCUGACGCCUGCCCGGUGCUGGAAGGUUAAGGGGAGAUGUUAGAGCAAUCGAAGCAUCGAACUUAAGCCCCAGUAAACGGCGGCCGUAACAAUAACGGUCCUAAGGUAGCGAAAUUCCUUGUCGGGUAAGUUCCGACCCGCACGAAAGGCGUAAUGAUUUGGGCGCUGUCUCGACAAUACAUCCGGUGAAAUUGAAGUACCAGUGAAGAUGCUGGUUACCCGCGCCAGGACGAAAAGACCCCAUGGAGCUUUACUCCAGCUUGAUACUGGGAUUCGGUAUUGCAUGUACAGGAUAGGUGGGAGGCUAAGAAGCAUGGACGCCAGUCUAUGUGGAGCCGCUGUUGGGAUACCACCCUUGCGGUAUUGGAUUUCUAACCAGCCGCCGUGAAACCGGCGGUGGGACAAUGUCAGGCGGGGAGUUUGACUGGGGCGGUCGCCUCCGAAAGGGUAUCGGAGGCGCCCAAAGGUUCCCUCAGAAUGGUUGGAAACCAUUCGAAGAGUGCAAAGGCAGAAGGGAGCUUGACUGUGACACCGACGGGUGGAGCAGGUACGAAAGUAGGGCUUAGUGAUCCGGUGGUAUUAAGUGGGAAUGCCAUCGCUCAACGGAUAAAAGCUACCCUGGGAUAACAGGCUUAUCACUCCCAAGAGUUCACAUCGACGGAGUGGUUUGGCACCUCGAUGUCGGCUCAUCGCAUCCUGGGGCUGUAGUAGGUCCCAAGGGUUGGGCUGUUCGCCCAUUAAAGCGGUACGCGAGCUGGGUUCAGAACGUCGUGAGACAGUUCGGUCCCUAUCCGGCGUGGGCGCAGGAUAUUUGAGAGGAGCUGUCCUUAGUACGAGAGGACCGGGAUGGACUGACCUCUGGUGCACCGGUUGUUCCGCCAGGAGCAUAGCCGGGUAGCCAAGUCGGGAAGGGAUAAACGCUGAAGGCAUCUAAGCGUGAAGCCCCCCUCAAGAUGAGAUAUCCCAUGCGAAAGCGAUAAGACCCCUUGAAGACGACGAGGUAGAUAGGUCAGAGGUGGAAGUGCAGUAAUGCAUGGAGCUGACUGAUUCUAAUAGGUCGAAGGCUUAACC
rnacentral:rRNA from 1 species